rnacentral:rRNA from 1 species
UUCUAAUGGAAACGGGAUCUAUUACCGCAUAACGUCGCAAGACCACAGAGGGGGACCUUCGGGCCUCUUGCCAUCAGAUGUGCCCCCAUGGGAUUAGCUAGUAGGUGGGGUAAUGGGUCACCUAGGCGACGAUCCCUAUCUGUGCUGAGAGGAUGACCCGCCCCACUGGAACUGAGACACGGGCCACACUCCUACGGGAGGCAGCAGUGGGGAAUAUUGCACAAUGGGCGCAAGCCUGAUGCAGCCAUGCCGCGUGUAUGAAGAAGGCCUUCGGGUUGUAAAGUACUUUCAGCGAGGAGGAAGGCAUUAAGGUUAAUAACCUUGGUGAUUGACGUUACUCGCAGAAAAAGCACCGGCUAUCUCUCUGCCAGCAGCCGCGGUAAUACGCAGGGUGCACGCGUUAAUCGGAAUUACUGGGCGUAUAGCGCACGCAGGCGGUCUGUCAAGUCGGAUGUGAAAUCUCCCGCGCUCUACCUGGGAACUGCAUUCGCAACUGUGAGGCUAUAGUCUUGUAGAGAGGGGUAUAAUUCCACGUGUAGCGCUGAGAUGCGUAUAGAUCUCGAGGAAUAUCGCUGUCGAAGGCGGGCCCCUGUGCACAGACUGACGCUCAGGUGCGAAAGCGUGGGGAGCAAACAGGAUUAUAUAUCCUCUGAGACCACGCCGCAAACGAUGUCUACUCGGAGGCUGUGCCCUUGAGGAGAGUCUUCCGCAGCUAUCGCGUUAAGUCGAUCGCCUG